ensembl:lncRNA
UAGUGUGAGGUGUUCCCUUUUAACAUAGAAAAAACAUCCUUGUUUUUUUUUUUUUUUUUUUAAAUUCACACAAAUACCCCUGAACAGCAUCAGAAACAUGAGCUUCACCUUCAUGAUGUGAAUGCAGCAUCAGGCGGCUGCAGUUAGCUGAAUGCUAACAAAACCUGCUGCUCCAAUGAUCAGGGGUUUGGCUUUCACUGUCCAGAGCAGCUUUUUAAAAACACGUUUUAUUAGAAGUUGAACAUUCAUCAGUUAUUUGAUAAUCUAUUAAUUGGGUUGGUUAAGUAAUUUUUAAAAUGGCCAAUAUUCCCUCAUCGCAGCUUCUUCAAUAUGAAUAUUUUCUGGUUUCUCAUCUUCUCAGUGACAGAAAAGUGAAAAAUAUUUGGACAAAACAAGACAUUUCCCAACCAUUGUCAUGUUUCACCAUUUUGUAAACCAAACCACUAAUUAGUUAUUCAAGAAAAUAAUCAUUAGAUUAAUGGAAUUAAUUGCUAGCUGCAGUCCCUUAAUGCUGUCAAUAAAUAAUGAAAUAAUUAAAAUAAAGGUCUUUUCAAUCAGAUUAUUUGAAGCAAGCAAAGAACAGAUUUUUUUUUUUAAAAAGUCAAAGUCAAUUUUAUUGUCAUUUCUUCAAUAUGGACAUGACACACCAAGGGUGGAAAUGACCUUACUCUCUCUUCAUGCAACAAUAGACAUUAAAUAGACACUUAGAAGAUUCUGAGAUGAAAAAAUAUAACAUAAAUUUACAAAAAUAAAAAAUAGGAUUUAAAAAGGCCAAAAAUUAAGUAAAUGAAGAACUAGAAAGCAAAAAUCAGGUCAACUAAGAACAACGGAAGCAAAACUGGAACUAAGUAACAAAUACACAACUAUUGAAACGUUUGGGGUCACUUAAAAAUGUCCUUAUUUUUGAAAGAAAUGCAGUUUUUUUUCAAUGAAGAUAACAUUAAAUGAAUGAUAAAUCCAGUGUAGACAUUGUUAAUGUGGUAAAUGACUAUUCUAGCUGGAAACAGCUGAUUUUUAAUGGAAUAUCUCCAUAGGGUUAGAAAUGUAAACAUGGCCGUGAGAUAAAGUGGUAGAUAUGGGACAGAAUAUUAAAAACAGUGCAGAUGAGUGACAACAGUAGAGGAAAUAAGUAGAGUAAAUUUGUUUGACUGUUCACUCCAACGUAUCGGUAACUUCACUGCAAGUCUUAUAAAAUCACGACUUUAGUGUCUGUUUUAGGAUUUUAUUGAUAUUUAAGGCCGAUAGAACAAUUAAUUAGCUUUGAAAUUGCAUCUUGAAACAUUCUACCACAGUAAUGUCUUUGCACGGAGCACUGUGGGAUUUAAAACUGGAGAAUUGAUUGGUCAGGAGGAGGUGUUUUAAAGUGCAUUUAUCUGCUGUCGUGAAUAUAAACUGCUCAGUAAGAAGUGAAGCAGCUCGUAGUUACUUCAGAUCCAGCCUCGUCCUACAGAACUCUGCACACGCCUGACGCCGGGUUCCGUUUUUAAUUUGGUGUCUUCAGCGUGUGACGGCUGAACGUCAGAGCAAAAUGUUAAGUUCAGAAAUAAGCCUUUGCUCUUUGGUUGUGAUGAACCGACUCCAGCGGCUGACCUUUACAUUUGACGUUUUAGACUGUUGAUUUUCUGCCGUCUCACUCGGCUGCUGCUGCUCUAAAAGUACCUCAAAGCGGUGGAAAACUUAACGUUUAGCGACUCAAACGAAACAUGUGACUCCAACAGGAGACCAGAUGUGAGGAUUUGACUGUCAAACAACCACUUCCUGGGUCGUUUCAGAGCUGGAGGAUAUUUGGGCUUCAAAAUGUUUGAAAAAUAAACCUUCUCUUUUACAGUUUUCUGCUCCAUAUCGAUCAAUAAUAGGUAAUAAACUAUCAAAGGCUUGAUUGGCUCAGCUUCCACAUCAAUGGUAGCAUUUUUAUUCCAUGUUUUCUGUGUUGUUUGCUAACUCUAAUCACAGCAACAGGGUUGCUAACAGCAAUAACAAAAACAAGACAGAAAACAAAAACGAGACAGAAAACAACAAAAACAAGACAAAAACGUCAUUAACAGGUUGUGCUAACAUGUUGUGGGACACACGUUUCAUGUAUAAUUACUUAAAAUAUUACGUUGAUUAACAAAAAAUGUUCCCACAAUUACAGAGACAACAAUGAAAAAAAUAAUACCAAAAAGGACAUUUAAAUGUAAUUUUAAGUGUUUUAUUUGAGAUUCAGUUUGGUCAUCAGGGACGUGGGACAAGAGAAAAAUGGCAUUUUAAGGGGACUCCAGACUUAUUUGGUAUUUUAAAAAUAUUUUCAAACAUUCUUUUCUCCUAAUUUUGUUUUUUAGAUUUGGUCUCAGGACAAGAACAUUUACACAACAACUGCAUGUUUUAGUAUUUUGUACAUGGAUUAUUGGAAAUUUGAUGGUGGGACAUAAAAUGUCCCCUAAUUCUGGAAUGAUGCUCAUCAGCCGGUUUGCAGCCUGACAGGUGAUUUUCCACCCGCUGACAAAAUAACUCGAGUGCUUUGUUUCACUGAAAUGCAGGAAGUUUCUGUAUUCCACCUGAGCAGCCCCUCAGGGUGCUUUUUCCUUUAAAGGGUUACGGAGGAGGAUCCGGCCUCUCGCUCACUUCGGUUUUAAUUAUUUCUACUUUGUGUCACGAAGCGCGGGAGUGAAAAUCCAUCACAAUUAAGAGAAUGCGAACGCAUCUUUGUAAACCCAGAGAGGGCGAUGCACAGACUUCAGAGGUGUGAUCGGCAGCAGAAACGAUGAGCGAAGAGCAGAGUCACUCCCACACAUUGUUUUCUCUGACGUUCCCUCUGAAGUCGAACAUCUGGCUGCGAUUGCUUUGGGCCAUCCCUGGCAGCGCUGAUCCGUCUCAGCGACUAUAGAUUACUCUGGUUUCAGACCGCAAACAAACAGAAACAAAUAACUAUGUGCAUUAAAAUUCAAUUACAAGAAGCAUUUUUUUUGGCUUAUUGUGUUUUUUUGUGUGUGUGUGGGCGGAUCAGUGUUGUUAUUCUGAGUAAAAUCUUUAGGCUGUAAAAUCUAUCGAUCCUGGACACACACUGAUUAUUCUGCAGCCUCACCCACUCUGCCAUCUUCAUGGAAGUCAUCAGGAACAAACUGAUGCUUCCUCCGCAGGUGUUCUACGGUGUGUUGGACAUGUCACCAUGGUGACGCUGUGGUGGAACCAGUGGUGACACUAUAAAGCCAAUGGUGACACUAUAAAGCCAAUGGUGACACUGUGGAGCCAAUGGUGUGACUAUAAAGGCAAUGGUGACACUAUGGAGCCAAUGGUGACACUUUGGAGCCAAUGGUGACGCUCAGUAUACAGAAGUGAGUACACCCCUGUGCAGUAAACAUCUCAGUGAUGGCAGUACUUCUAAUCUGCUUGCUGUGAUGUAAAAUGAAAAACCAACAGCUUAGAUUUACUAUAUUUAAAACAACAGACCCUGCAGUAGGAGCUCAGUGCAACAGAAGUGAAUUCUGAGGUUCCACCUUUAUUCAUUGAGACAAUUAAUCUUGCUCAGCAUUGAGGAAACCAAAUUGCUGCUCAGAUGUCACGUCAUUCUAUUUUUUCAGCUUCUCUUUGCUGAAAGGGUUUUGUUGCUCGACCUUCCUCUUUAAAACACACCCAAAGAUGUUCCAUUAGGUUCAAGUCCAGACACAGAUUUUCCACGUCGUACUUUUCACUUCUUUAGACAUUCUUGCGUCAUGUAGUUCUUUGGAUGAUUCUCUGUAUUCUGGUUUAUCCUCAGACAUUCAUGACGCAUCCAGAAAUGUCAUCAACACCUUCCUCAUACAGCUCCAGAUCAUCAUACCACCACCUCCGUGCUUCACUCUCAGGACUAUACAUCCACUGUGGUGGUCCUGGUCAGUUUGGUUGGAUGUUUUUUUUGUUUGUUUGUUAGUUUUUUUAAUCUUUGUGGAGUCUGACACUCAGAUCUUUCACUUCCCGUCUUCAAUUAUUUUCCAUGCGGAGCCAUGAUGCAGACAUAGACACAGGCCAUAGGUCCAAAACUGGAUGUUCUGCUGUUCACAGCUCAUUUUAGAACCAUGUUCAUGCAGUUAGACUGACUGGAAAUCACAGCUGGACUCAGUUUUGACUCACUUUUUCACUUGAUUUACUUUUGUUGCUUUGAGUUUCUACUCUGUGGUCCAACGUUUCAAUAUAUUCCUUCUGAAGCGUCAGUUUUUGAUACUUGUUCAGAGGUAACACUCCACUGUUCAGCCUAAAAAUAUUGAAAUUAUUGUCAAUUUAUGCCAUUUUGAAUCAUGUGACACUGUAUAGGUGUUCUCACUUCUCUUGUACCUGCAGCUUGCUGUCACAAAAACCCACUUCUUCUUCUUCUUGCAGCUCUGAGCGUAAAACACCAGGGUUAUAUCUAGCUGGUGUGACGGCGCUCGUACAGCAAACGUGUUCUCUCCCUGUAGCCGUGCACCACCAGGGGUUACAAACCACAUGUUCUCCAUGGAUGUAGGUUUUAUUUAUUAAUGUGAUGAACUGAUUGCAUUAGAGGAGAAAAAAGCAGUUCUUAGAUGUAUUUUUGUAGAGAACCCCUCAGUUGAAUGAGGCACGGUUUUUGUAUCAUGUACUCUGAUGCUAUUUUAGCUGGUAAACAAACCCCACAGCCACUAAAUAUCCGUCUCCUUGUUAAUCUGUCGUACAUUUGUUCUGGUCAUCAAUCAGUGGGGCUUAAAAGGUCACAUUUGAGUUCCUUCAGAGAACAGUUUCACCCUGUUUUUGUCAGAGAAAUGUCUUGAGAUCCGAUAAACUAAUAUUUAGCUGACUUUUUUUGUGUAAUCUAAUUUCAGCCAAACUCAUAUCCACAGAUAUUAUCCCUGCUAAUAUGAUAGAUCUAGUAAAUCCAUUGAGAAAAAUAAAUUACUCUGAAAAUGGAAAUAAAUGGGUAGACUUGAUAUCAGAGCUGUGUUGUCCUUGUGUCUUUUUCUUCUGACUUGCUUUCACACACAAAAAAACUCCAUUAUCAGCAAACACAUCUGCGAAUCGAUACCUUUUGCCGCCGUAAUUUCCCCUGCGUGUGAAAUAAUAAAGCGAAAAAGGCAAAAUGAGCUUUCGGAGAAUAUUUUAAACACUUUAUAGACUGAAAAUAGGCGAUUUAAAGUCUGGAAGACGACGCCUCGGAUGAUCAGACGCUUGCCUCGGGAUGUGCAUGAGAGUGUGUGUGUGUGUGUGUGUGUGUGUGUGUGUGUGUGUGUGUGUGUGUGUGUGUGUGUGUGUGUGUGUGUGUGUGUGUGUGUGUGUGUGUGUGUGUGUGUGUGUGUGUGUGUGAGAGCGUGCACGUGUGUGUGUGUGUUUGUGUCCAGGAGGCCCGUCGACAGCUGGGACCAUAAUGUUCAAUGAGUAAAAUAGCGUCAAAACUCAACAUGUUCAACACCUGAGGCUGUGUGUGUGUGUGCGUGUGUGUGUGUGUGUGUGUGCAUGUUGUUGAGAAACAUGGAGGUAUGAGAUCCCAGAAUCAGCCACAAGGGUGAGACUCUGGCAGAAUAACAGCUAAAUAAGGGAACAUUGUGAUAUUAUAACCUGUGAUUUAUAACUGAUUCAUGCGAUAACCUAAUAAAUGUGUUAAAGCUAACACAAAUACCUAUUUUUAUAAUCUUUGUUUAAGAAGUAACUAAGUCAGAACAGCAACUCACUGUGAAAAGUGAUGUUUUGGUUACCAGGGAAACUGAUGUUUUUGAUAGAUAUGACAAAUAUGAGGAACUAAUGCUUUAUUAAGUGGAAAUGCUUUUAAGAGUUUUGAUUACUAUGAAACUGAGAUGUUUUAGAAAGAGUUUUGAUUACUGUUAAACUAAGGUUUUUAACUUAGUAAUGAAGUGAGAAGUCAAGAGCUAAGGUGAACUGGGGUCAAGUGUUCACAGUAAAGGUUAUUAACCUCGAAAUAGACGUCAGGGAUUUUUGUGAGUCUGACAUCUGUUUCCUGACCGGAGGCCUGCUCUGAGCUGCAGAUGGAACAAAUACAUUAAUAGAGAAGUGAGACUGAGUGGAAGGGUCCAAACAGUCCAA